GACGAACGCUGGCGGCGUGCCUAGUACAUGCAAGUAGAACGCUGAAGGAGGAGCUUGCUUCUCUGGAUGAGUUGCGAACGGGUGAGUAACGCGUAGGUAACCUGCCUGGUAGCGGGGGAUAACUAUUGGAAACGAUAGCUAAUACCGCAUAAUAGCAGUUGUUGCAUGACAACUGUUUGAAAGGUGCAAUUGCACCACUACCAGAUGGACCUGCGUUGUAUUAGCUAGUUGGUGGGGUAACGGCUCACCAAGGCGACGAUACAUAGCCGACCUGAGAGGGUGAUCGGCCACACUGGGACUGAGACACGGCCCAGACUCCUACGGGAGGCAGCAGUAGGGAAUCUUCGGCAAUGGACGGAAGUCUGACCGAGCAACGCCGCGUGAGUGAAGAAGGUUUUCGGAUCGUAAAGCUCUGUUGUAAGAGAAGAACGAGUGUGAGAGUGGAAAGUUCACACUGUGACGGUAUCUUACCAGAAAGGGACGGCUAACUACGUG
rnacentral:rRNA from 1 species